GGCACCCACAACACGGCCGCUGAUGCUCUUUCUCGCUCUCAAUUCCAGGUAUUCUUCCAGGCACUCCCUACGGCUCACCACAAGCCUUCCAGGACACCACAAUUUCACGAACUAAUCCUGGAUUGAGCACACUAAUGCACCACGCGAGGACUCUCACUCACCAAGCACUAUCACCUAACACAGCUAUUUCAUACAAUAGGGCACUUACCAUUUUUAACAAAUUCACUGCAGAAUUCGGUUUACAAGGCGACUUCUCUACACAAACCAUGGUGGCUUUUGCCUCUUUCUGCCAUCUACAUCUUAAACUUUCUCACAACACCGUUAAACUUUACCUCACCAGGGUUCAGCACCAUAGCCUCACCAAUUUUCCUAACAACACCCCCUUCUUGUCAUCAUAUCCCAUUAAAAAGGUCUUGAAAGGUAUAUUAAAGGUUUCGGUUCCACUCACCACCACAAGACUACCUAUAGAUGGGCCUAUCUUUAAAUCACUUAGCAAUCUCCUUGACGAAUCCCCGUUCGAUCCCAACACAAACCUGGUGAUCAAAUCUGCUAUUUAUCUUGCUUUCUACGGUUUUCUCAGACCCAGAGAGUUCACCAUUGUUUGUAAUGGAGAUAUCACGCACAGCCUAAAAUCAUCACACCUCACUAAGGUGGAGGAUCACUACCUACUUACGAUUCCAUCAACUAAAACU